AAAAAUAAUGAUCCCACAAAACAACUAAAAGGUCAUAGAGGUGUAAAAUAUACUCAAAUUGUGCAACCAAUGUUUACUUCAUUUCCUAAAUCUCCGUUUAUUGGUGAAGGAUUAUUCACUAAUAAACGUGUAGAAUAUGUUUACUGGGAUGACAUAAAUGAAUUAGUGUCACGUCUAGCAUUAUUACAUGCAGCGACAAAAGCGGGUAACAAUUCCCAUCUGAAUGAAAUUUUAUCAAUAGAAGAAGAAUUAAAGGAAUGUGGUGUAAUAUAUUAGGCUUAAGUUUUUUUCUGGUUAAUCCUCAGUGUUGAAAUGCCCAUUGAUCUAUUCGGACGUAAAGUGUUAUCAGCAUCAAGUGCAUUUUUUAAAUCUACACCAUCACCUUUUGUUUUCACUGCUGAUGGUGACCUUGAUUUAAAACAUCAUAGAAUCUGUAACAUUAAUGAUCCAACAGAAGACAAAGAUUGUGCGAAUAAGGUAUAUAUUGAUUUAGUAAGUAAACAAAUAUACCAAAAGAUGGAAGGAGUAAUAGCUGCUUUAACGGAUUUAAAUAAUAAUGUUCAUAAAGCAGAUGCUAUAUGGAUGGAUAAAUUUAAUCAGUUAAACUUAACCAUGAAUGUUAAGUACAAAAUACUUGAUGAAAAAAUUGAUAAUAUAAUUGCUACAAUUCCUCACACGAUUGAAUCAGAAUUGCAUAACAAACAUUUAAGUAUAAAUUAUGAAAUCGAUAACAAGUGGAAAAAAUUUAUGAAUAAUUCAAAUGAGAUAACCAGACGAAUAAAAAAACUUGAAGAACGCUUUGAAGGAAUCGAUAGUAUUAAGAUAAAACCAGAAACCAUUUCCAAACGUUCUAAAGCAGGUGAUACAGAUCAACUUGAAAAUGUACCUAUAUCAAAGAAAAGGAAAGUAACAGAUUCAUAUGAAAAUAGUGAAAGAUAGAACCCAUGCCUCAUAAUAAAAACAAGUGUCCUCCAGGUCAAAUGUCAGAUCGUCAUGGAAAUUGUAGAGAAGUGUACCGUAAAUAAGCAAUGGUUCGACUAAAGCAAGUUAGUGAUGUAAAGCAAAAAUUGGUAAACGAGAUAUUUAAACCUGCACGCAGGAAUUUUAAACGAAGACGUACUAUAAUUAAAGGAUUGGAUGAUUUAUGGCAAGUAGAUUUAGCAGAAAUGCAAAAUUUAUCUUAUCAUAAUAAUGGAUUUAAAUAUAUUUUAGUCGUAAUCGACUGUUUUUCUAAAUUUUUAUGGACCAGACCACUGAAAUCGAAAUCAGCUAAUGAGGUUAGCAGAGCUAUGGAAUCAAUACUGAAGAAUGAAAAAGAACGAAUACCAAAGAAUUUACAGUCAGAUCAAGGAAAGGAAUUUUAUAAUACCACUUUUCAGGAUUUGAUGAGACGUUAUAAUAUUAAUCACUAUAGUACGUACAGCGUUAAAAAAGCAGCAAUUGCUGAACGAGUUAUACGUACUUUAAAAUCCAAAAUUUAUCGAUAUUUUACGUUAUUUGCGACACAUAAAUGGAUAAAUAAAUUGCAAGAGAUAACCAAAAAUUAUAAUACUACAAUACAUCGAACAACAGGAAGGAAACCCACAGAGAUAAACGCUUCGAAUCAAGGAGACAUAACAGCAUAUGAUCAUCUAAAGAUUGUUGAUAAAAACAGAAAAAAAUUUAAAGUCGGAGAUUUCGUAAGAAUUAGCAAAGAAAAGAUGUUAUUUGAAAAAGGAUAUACACCCAAUUGGUCAACGGAAAUUUUUAAAAUCAGUAAGAUUAAUCUAACCAAUCCUGUAACAUUUCUGCUAGAAGAUAAAGAAGGUCAACCAAUCAAAGGAGCUUUUUAUAUUUGGGAAUUAUCAAAAACUCAAUAUCCUGACGUCUAUUUAGUUGAGAAAGUGAUUCGACGUAAAGGAACUAAAUUAUUUGUGAAAUGGUUAGGUUUACCAGAUAAUCAGAAUAGUUGGAUUGAAAUGAAAGAUAUUACCUAAUAAAUAAGAAAUAUAUAUACGAUAUAAUUAUUUAACGUCUAAUUUAGUUCCAUUUAAGAUGGCAACGAGUGUAGAACCUGUUAUAAAAAAAGUGCUGCAUUUUGAAAAAACCAUAAGCGAUAUUCGAUUACUAAUGAAACUGGAACUACUGAAAUUAGGACCGUGCCAGUUGAUGGAUAUAUUUCAUAAAUUACCGGAAACAUAUCAACAAGAUCAUGAUAUAAAGCUGAAUCUACCAUGUUUACAACAUUAUUAUAACAGUUUUGACGAAGAUCAGUUUGAUGGUCCUCCUUCAUCAAUAAAUAAUUGUGUUUCGUGUAUUUUAGAUGAUACAGGAAGCCAACAACAACAACAACAACAACAACAACAACAACAACAACAACCCACUGCGUUUCAAGUGUAAUGCCUCUUUUGAACUCAUCACUCAUCUUAUAUGUACAUCGUCUUCACUAGUGAAAGUCCUAACAACACAAGAUGGUCUCCUCUCUGGAAAAGUUUAUUUUUCAACGAUGUUGAUUACCAAUGGAAGAAGAUGAAUCUGGGUUAUUUGAGCAAUACUGCAAUAGAAAUAUUUAAAUAUGAAAAUGUUUCUAUAGCAAACUCUGUAAUAUAUUUUAAAUUAAGACUAGUUUUUACCAAUAGUAAUUAUAUUGAUACUGACUGGAAGAGACUUAUACUUAAUGAUCAUGAUGUAGUUUCAAUAAAAAAUUGUUUUAAUCAUGUUCCUACCUUUUUAGCAAUGUUUGGAAUUGUUUGUACAUGUUGGAUCGUUUUUAUGAUGUUCAUAGCGUUAGGUUUGGCUUAAAAACUGCAAUUAAAAAUUUAUUUAGGUGUAUGACUUUGUUAGUUUAAGUAUGUAGUUUGUUUUAUGUCUAAUAAAAAAUAAUAUUCA